UGAAUACGAGACGCUACGGCGUCGAAGCAGUCUAUGUCAUACUUCCAAGAAAAGCUUGCACUGUCAUAAACAAAUAAUGCCUGUACCAUAACCGACACAGGUGGGUAGGUAGAGUAUACUAAGGGGCGCGAGAUAACUCUCUCUAAGGAACUCGGCAAAUGACUCCGUAACUUCGGGAGAAGGAGUGCCUUAUUUAUAAGGUUGCAAUAACAAGAUCCAAGCAACUGUUUAUCAAAAACACAGGUCUCCGCUAAGUCGUAAGACGAUGUAUGGGGGCUGACGCCUGCCCAGUGCCAGAAGGUUAAAGAAGUUGGUUAGCAUUAGCGAAGCUGAUAACUGAAGCCCUGGUGAACGGCGGCCGUAACAAUAACGGUCCUAAGGUAGCGAAAUUCCUUGUCGGGUAAGUUCCGACCCGCACGAAAGGCGUAAUGAUUUGGAUACUGUCUCGGAGAGGGGCUCGGUGAAAUAGACUUGUCUGUGAAGAUGCGGACUACCUGCACCUGGACAGAAAGACCCUAUGAAGCUUUACUGUAACCUGAAAUUGAAAUUGGACUUUAUUUGCGCAGUAUAGGUGGGAGGCGUUGAGAAUAUUCUUGCGGGAAUAUUGGAGCCAUCAGUGAGAUACCACUCUUGUAAUGUUAGAUUUCUAACUUUGAAUCAUUAUCUGGUCAAAGAACAGUUUCAGGCGGGCAGUUUGACUGGGGCGGUCGCCUCCUAAAUGGUAACGGAGGCGCACAAAGGUUUCCUCUGAACGGGUAGAAAUCGUAUCUAGAGUGUAAAGGCAUAAGGAAGCUUGACUGUGAGACCUACAAGUCGAGCAGGGACGAAAGUCGGUCUUAGUGAUCUGACGGUGCUGAGUGGAAAGGCCGUCACUCAACGGAUAAAAGUUACUCUAAGGAUAACAGGCUGAUCUCCCCCAAGAGUUCACAUCGACGGGGAGGUUUGGCACCUCGAUGUCGGCUCAUCGCAUCCUGGGGCGGUAGUACGUCCCAAGGGUUGGGCUGUUCGCCCAUGAAAGCGGUACGCGAGCUGGGUUCAGAACGUCGUGAGACAGUUCGGUCCAUAUCCGGUGUAGGCGUUAGAAUAUUGAGAGGAGCCUUCUUUAGUACGAGAGGACCGAGAAGGACAUACCUCUGGUGUACCAGUUAUCGUGCCAACGGUAAACGCUGGGUAGCUAUGUAUGGAGAGGAUAACCGCUGAAAGCAUCUAAGUGGGAAGCCCACCUCAAGAUAAGUAUUCGC
rnacentral:rRNA from 1 species